UUUUAGUAACGGGCGAGUGAAGCGGUAACAGCUCAAAUUUGAAAUCUGGCUCUUGCGGAGUCCGAGUUGUAAUUUGUAGAAGAUGCUUUGGGUUGUGGGUUCGGCCUAAGUUCCUUGGAACAGGACGUCAUAGAGGGUGAGAAUCCCGUAUGUGGCCGAGGCCCGCGCCUAUGUAAAGCUCUUUCAACGAGUCGAGUUGUUUGGGAAUGCAGCUCAAAAUGGGUGGUAAAUUUCAUCUAAAGCUAAAUAUGGGCCAGAGACCGAUAGCGCACAAGUAGAGUGAUCGAAAGAUGAAAAGCACUUUGGAAAGAGAGUUAAACAGUACGUGAAAUUGUUGAAAGGGAAGCGCUUGCAACCAGACUUGGGCGCUGCCGAUCACCUUGAGUUUUCUCGAGUGCACUCGACAGCGCACAGGCCAGCAUCGGUUCGGGUGGCUGGAUACAGGCCGUAGGAAUGUGGCUCUCUUCGGGGAGUGUUAUAGCCUACGGUGCCAUGCAGCCCAGCCGGACCGAGGACCGCGCCUUCGGGCUAGGAUGCUGGCGUAAUGGUUGUAAGCGACCCGUCUUGAAACACGGACCAAGGAGUCUAACAUCUAUGCGAGUGUUUGGGUGGUAAACCCAUACGCGGAAUGAAAGUGAACGUAGGUGAGAACCCCUUUGGGGCGCAUCAUCGACCGAUCCUGAUGUCUUCGGAUGGAUUUGAGUAAGAGCAUAGCUGUUGGGACCCGAAAGAUGGUGAACUAUGCCUGAAUAGGGUGAAGCCAGAGGAAACUCUGGUGGAGGCUCGCAGCGGUUCUGACGUGCAAAUCGAUCGUCAAAUUUGGGCAUAGGGGCGAAAGACUAAUCGAACCAUCUAGUAGCUGGUUCCUGCCGAAGUUUCCUCCAAGGAUAGCAAA
rnacentral:rRNA from 1 species